GCUCAGCCGGGAGCAGAGCGGACAGCGCCAGCCUGAGCGGAGCACCGUGCGUCCCCACCCGCCGGGCCAGGUACCGCUGGGGGCGCCGACCCCCAGUCCAGGGCACCGGGCGGGCAGAGCUCUACUGUGCACCCUCCCGUCCGUAGCUGGGCUCUGGGCAGCGCCUGUUACCCGUCCCGUCCCGGGCAGACACCCCAGCCUCCCGCGAGCCAGAACCCCGCGCGCUCUGGGCUCAGUCCGGGGACUCGCCACUCAGGGGUCAGUUCUGAGCUUGAACUGGUAUCCUGGGAAAGGCAUUUCGCCGCCUCAGGGCCUGUCGGCAGGGCCAGGAGGGACAGCAGGAGGUCAGCAGCACUCGGGGCUGGGGCCACAGGACGCCUUGUUGGGGGCUCGGGCGGUGAGCGAUGGGCUUCCCGAGGCAGGGCCCACGGGGACUAGCUAGAGAGGGUCCCGGAGGGGGGCCUAAAAGGGCCCGGGAGCGGGCUCUGGAGCGCUGCCCCGACGGGCGCCUGACAGGCAAAUCUGCCCGGCUGGCACACCGGGAGUCUGGGUAUAUUUAUCCCGGCUGCGUUGGGCAGGGGCUUGAGGGCAGAUCGGGCCAGGCUGCCUGAGGGGCCGUGGGGCACAUGUUGGUCCCAGAGUCCGUGCCAUUUGCAGCCGGGCCAGCGGGCACGGCAGGAACAGGGCGCGUGUGGCUCCCUGGCCUGAGGGCGGGGCUCUGUGUGCUCUCCUUGCUGCCUCAUUCCCCGGUGGGGGUAUAAGAGCUGGCGCCGCGCACGCGGGCGGAGGGAAAGGACCAAAACCGGGUUUGCAGGAGCCCGCCCCCGUUCCAUUGGCCCCUUCGAUUGGCCACAGCGAAUGCGUGCGUUUGUUUACACCCGGGGAGGGGGAGGCCAGGGGCGGGGCCUGUGGGAAUCCGCCCUCUCCCCCCAGGGUGACCUGAGCGCUGAGCUCAGGUGUAAGCUCUAGGACAAGUCUGAAAGGGACUAAGUCAAAGGUCCUUGCACCUUGCACCCUGGGGGACUCCUGGACCCAGGCCCAUCCUUCCUUCAGUCGCCCAGUCCUGUCCUUUCUUCCAUGACUUCCUUGGGCCACUGUUCUGGAAGAGGCCUUUGGACCUUCCACCCCUUCCUCUUCAGUAAACAGUUGCAUGGGAGUUCAGUUCCUUCAAGAAAGGAAGAAAACUCUUCAGAGCUUUUCAGUCUGGAGCCUAGAAAGCUGAAGAGAUCUGGGGACAGUUCCAUUUUGAGAUGGGGAAGUUCUGCACAACCAUGGAAGUCUUCCUGCAGGAAGCACUAGAUGUAGGAGGAAUCAGGGUGGGUGAGGCCAGGCGUGGCACAUCUCCAAGAGGGCUGGAAUGACUGGAAUCAUUCCAUGAGAGUCUCUGACCCUUUGGGGUUGGGGACAGGGGACUGGUUCUCUGGGGAGGGGAGGGGUAUAUGUCUCAGAACCUCACUCUGCCUGAGCUCAUAGAGGCCAUGUCCUCACUGGCUUCUCAAACCACUCUUUCUUCAGUACUGGUUCUUUUGGCCCUCAUCACAACCUCACCACACACACCCAGUCCAGGGCUCAAGGUGGCCAGACCAUGAGAAUCAGUUGCUCCUGUCCUGGUGCCUGCUGCCCUAGCAAGUAGCCAUGGAACCUUGGGCAAAUAGAGAAAAUGAGGCACAACAGGUCUCUGGGUAGUGUCGGGGAAGGUUUUUGAGCUAAACUAAGUGUACCCUGAAAGUCCAGGCUGGGUGUGGAACAAACAGGCACUCAUUCUAAGGGGAAAGCAUGUUUUAGGGGAGUGGUUGGCUGCAAGGGAGGUACAGUUUGGUAUCUGUGUGCACAGAAAGCCUGUGUGGGAUGUGUAUACUAUGCUGUAGUAAGAUAGGAGCUCUGCAGGCACAUGAUCUAGUUCAGACAUGACCAGGGUCCAGGGGCCACUUGGAGCUGGGUUGAGAUGGGUUGGGGGCUUGCCAAGGGCCUUGAACCCAUUCUAUUCCUUUUACAACAUUUGCUGAGCACCUACUAUGUGCCCUGCAAACAUUCAGUCUGGUGAGUGGAGGGCUGGCCUUUGACUCUGGAUAAGAAGACAGAUGCGGUGGUGGGGUGGGGAGGACUCUAGAAGACCAGGCGGGGCUUCUGGGGGCCAAAGGGAAGGACCAGCUGCUGGGGCAGGAGGGGCUUUCCGGUCAGCGGCCUGGGGUGGCUUGGUUUUGAAUUUCCGCUCUGCGGGCCACGUCCUGUACACAGCCUCUCAGCCGGCACGUCUGCACACGUGCAUGACUGCUGAGAAUGGGGGUCACCAUCACCUCUGUGUAUCUUUUCCAUUGUGUGGGUAGACAGUGCUGGACUGGGGAGUGGUGAGCUUUCCAGCUGGGCCUGGACCUGCAGCCCUAGUGGGCUCAGACCCGCUGUCUGGAUGUCCCUGCACCUAGCUAAUGGAGGCAUAACCUGCUCUUGUAGGAACCUGCAGAUGCUGGGCAGCCUUCUUGUGGGGUCCUCCAGGGUUCUGCCUGGCCAUCCCUGAAGUGCCCACUGGGCCUGCAGCCCACUCGCCUGGGCCUCUGGCUCCCUCUUCCCUCUCACUCCUUCUGGGGUCCUCUCUGUCUUUCGUUGGCUGUCUCCCUGUCUCUCUGUCUCUUUUUCCAUUUAGCUAUCUCUGGCUGGUUGGCCAUCGCUGUCUCUCAGCUCUCUGGUUGUCUGUCUCUCUCUGUCUCCCUGUCUGAAUGUGUAUCCACCUUCUUCUGUGUGUAUUUUCCUGUUGGUGUACCUUUAUAUCCAUCUGCAUUUCUCUAUCUCCCUGUGCCUCUCUGUCUCUUUUUCUGUCCAGAUCAGUAUUCAUGCACUGCAUGUAUGUGUUUUCUGCCCUUCCUCUUUCCUUGCCCCUCUCUUCCCUCCCUCUGCCGCUCUGCUUCUGCCUGACAUUGAAUGGUGCCUCUCCUCCAGGCCAACCUUGCCUUUAGCCCCUCCCCCCUUCCACUGGGGUCUCCAAUGAGUCCUGAGCUGCCCCAGGCCCCUGCUCCAGCUUUCCUUGGGGCCAGAAGUCCGGCUGUCCAAAUAUUUGGCCGCCUCCAGGGGAUUCCGGGUCAGCAGGGAGGAGGAUGGGCUGGCUGGCUCGGGGUCUCCCCUGCCCCUGGGGGGCCACAGGCACGUGAUGUCCUGUCCUUUGCCUUGGCUGGGCCUCCAGCUGCACGUCCCUCUCAGCGGGCUGGCAAUGGGGGGAGGGGGCUGCUGCUGGCUCUGGCCCAGUCUUGACCAAGAGGUUCCAGCUGCAGCCUCCACUGGGGGAGCAAGGAGGGUCCUGGGCUGGGUGGGAGGGGAGGCCUAGGGGUCUGGGGCAAGGUCCAACUCCAGGCAUCUGUUGGGUGUCUAGCAAAUGUACCCUGUCACAGGAAAGUCCAACUUCCGGCCCCAGCUGGGCCCCUCAGAUCCUCCUAGACACUUCCGGAUGCCCAGAACACAGAAGCACAGACCCCACACACCAGGGCCAAGGAGCUAAACUAUGAGGGAUCGGUGUUGCCAACACAUCAAUGUUCUGGGCCAUCUUCCUUUCCUUGGAUGUGCCCUCUCCUCCAUACCACCCCCCUCAGUACCAGCCAGGUGUUGACCUUGCAGUGGCCAUUUGCCCAGUGUUGUUGAUGAUGAAGGAGCAGUGGAAGGGGUACUGGAUCUACCGAGGUCAAAAUCUGGAGUUGUGCGUCUGGAGGAAGAGCUAGGGGUGCACAGGGCUGUAGUAUUCUCCCCUGUUCAGAACACCCUUCCAUAUGCCCUAGCCCUAGCCCCCUGACCUCAGCAAUGAUCUCCUCACCAAUCCCUGGGGCUGUGCCUUGAGAACAUAUAAUUCAGACAUGUCCAUUGAAUCUAGUUUCCUUGUUGACUGACAGCUUGUCCUAAGAUGAUGUUCUCCUUCUGAAGCCUGGAGAAGAAGGUGGGCAGGGAGUGCCAAGAUAGGAGGGGCACCUUGUCUCAGCCAGGAGGGGACUAAGGAUGGCUGAGCUGGAACUGAGAGCAGCCUUCAUCCCUGAGCCUCCAGGGAUAACCACAACAGACCCUCAGGCCAGACCAGCUGCCUCUCCCCUGAGAUCUGGGCUGAGGCUAGGACUUCCCAGGCACCAGAAGCCUGGGGACCAUGGCAACAAGUUCUAUGGGGUCUGUGCCUCGAUCAGCACAGACGGCCAGGAAGGACUGAGGGAAGAACAGUGUGGAUGCCUCCCUGUAGCCAGCCUGACACUGCAGACCCAUUUAUGUCCCUGAGCAUUAGGGAGGAAAGCAGGGCUCAAGUCCCUGGUGGUUCCAAGGACCUCAAUCCUGGGACAGAGAGGUAUGUGUCCUACAGCAGCUGAUGCAAGCAGUGGGCCUGUGGUGGCCUGGAUUCCUGGGCCUCGAAAUCUUUAAUUAGCCAAACUCAACACCUGCCAAGGUGUGCCUGACAAGUUCUCACCCUGUGAUGCCCGCGUGGGCGAGCGUUACCUACUGCACUAUCCCUGUGGCUCCUGGCCUCUCCUAGCCCUUAUCUCCCAGCAGAGCAAACAGGGCCCAGGGCAGUGGCCCAGGCCAUCGAUUUCCUGCCCAAGUCCAUUCUGCACCCAUGACCGAUGCUAUUCUGAUGAUCUGCCCAAGGUCGCAGUGACAGCCCCACACUAGAACCUGACCCCUCUCUGGAAGCCCAUGGCAUGGUCUGGGACAAAGGCCUUGGAGAGGAUCCUCACUCUGUCCCCAGCUUUGCCAAACUUCUGGGGACCUCUGCAGGGCAGGAGGACACUGAGGUCCUGAGUGGGGAAUACUCUACCCGUGGUCACACAGUAAGGCAGGGCCAGGCCAGGACUCAGACUCCGAAUGUCCACUGUGGACUUUCUCAACAGUGGGUCAGAUUCUGCUGGCAGAUUUCCCUGAGUCCACCCUGACUCCCUGAUACAAAGGAGCCUGGGAGGUGGUAGGCCUGAGGGAUGGGAACUGUCAGAAAUGGGCUGCCAGCCUCAGGGAAUGGCUGAGAGUCCACAUGCCAGGCUAGCACUCCACUCUGGCUGCUUAGCCCUUAGCCCUGCCCUACACUGAAGUACAGACUCAUUGACCUGGCCUUCAAGGCUUUGUCAGGUUUGUCUAUAGCCAUGGAACCUUCAUUCUGCCUCAUACCACACCUUAGAGCCUUUGCCCAUGCUGUGCCCUCUGCUUAAGGCAUUCUUUGCUAUUCCACACUUUUGGGACUCCUGGAAUUUCAGAAAUGGCUCCAUCACCUCCUCUGCCAGGAAGCCUUCCUUGAUGCCUCUCUCCCCCCUUUUUUGAGUCCCAGCACUAUGUGGCUCAUAUUUAGUUGUUGCAGGAACUAUAAGGUGGGGGCUAUGUUUGGGGAUUUUGUCCCUUCCAGACCAGAAGCCAUUUAGGGAAGGAUAUUCCAUGUCCUCUCUGGGACCUCAAACCAGCCCAAGAUCCAGCAGUGACUGGUUUUGAGUAUCAGACAGGCUGUGAAGGUCUAGGUGUAGGUCCUGCUGGGGGGAUGGGGAACCUGGAUACAGGAACUCGGGCACUUUGGCCAUGACCAUGCCGUGGGCUGUGGUCUCCCUGGAGGUAGUGCUGGCUGCUAGGGAAGGAUAUUAAGGCAGAGAAGGGUGCUUUGUCCAAGCUGCCAACUCAGCACACUCUGAGGGCCUGUCCCAGCCUGCCCAGGGUGGGAGGCCCGAAAAGGACAACCCUAGCUGAGAGCCAGGGGGCACUCUGGAGUGACUCUGGAGAUGAGGUGCUGGCAUCUCCACAUCCAGCUGGGAUCCUUGGAGAGGUGCUGAUAGUGAGGCUUAGGGCAGAGACUCAUCCAGGGGAAGAGGGCACGAGAGAUGUUCACAUUGUCAUGGACCUGAAUGGACAGGGCUGGAGGUGAGAUGGGUUCAGAUGCCAGCAUCAGAAGAAAGAGAGGCAGGCCGAGGGGGCCCGAGGGUUCCAAGUGUGGAGUCUCCAGGACCGAGGUUCCUGGGAUCUGAACUCUGGCCUGGGGCUGCCUGGGGCAAUGGUGGGCUGGUCCUUUAGUCAGUUCUGUGUGGCUGCUGCCUCCAGGACACUGGGGCCUGAGGCCUGAACCCAGCCUUCUGUCCCCACACAUAGCCCCAAGUGCUAAGAACACUGGUGUUCUGGGUUCUAAGUAGACCUGAGACCAUCAGGAUCCGGAGUGGGGAUGGGGGGUUCAGGGCGGGAUUCAGGAUUCCCAAGCAGAGAGCUUGUCAUGGCACCAAGCCUAGGCUCCGAUAGGGACACCUGGCUGGCUCAGUCAGUAGAGCAGGUCACUCUUGAUCUCAGAGUUGUAUGUUUGAGCCCCAUGUUGAGUGUAGUGAUUACUUAAAAUUAAAAUCUUUUUUUUUAAAUUAAAAUCUUAAAAAAACAAAACAAAAAACAGGCUAGGCUGUGGCUGACCUGCAUGGCAGUGCUGCCCCCUCCCUGGUCUCGACUAGAGUCUUAGCUCUCCUUCUGGCCUCUCUGGCCUUCAGGAUGUCCUUAUAGAUCCUGGGGCACUGUGCCAGGUACCUUCUGGGCAUGGGGUAGGUGGCUUCCAGCCCCAGUGAUUGGGGGGGGGGAGCUGGCUCCUUAGAGGCCCAGCAGAGCCAUGCCCUGAGGGCAGGAAAGGGAGGACUGAUCCAGUGGCCUAGACUCCUCUACAGCUGCCUAAGACCCUGAGUUCCUGGCCUGGGGUUCUAGGAAAUGGAGAAUCUGCUCCAAUGGUCCACUACUGGAGGGUGGUCACCUAAGGGGUAGGGGUAUUCCCCCUAGCCCCUAGCAGGGGAAGAGAAGCUUGAAGGAGAACAUGGCCCUGAGGUCAUGGCUGUGUGGAGAGUGAGGCCUGUGUGGCUCAGAGAAUUCGGCCCUGGGACGCUCGUUUCCUGGAUGGCCCCCUGAGGGCCCUUUGCAGCCAGGCGGGCAGGGCCCAGGUGUCCAGCCACCCAGCACCGCCUCAGGCCUCCUGGCUCCGGGGGGGUAGCCUUUGCGCCUGCCGUUCCCAGCGCCAGCUCUCAGACCACAGAAGGCCCUUUGUUCUGGCUGCCAGCAGUGCCCGCCGGGCGGCUGGGAACAGGGCCCACAGCCCUCACCCUCUCCCAAGGCCUCCAGCCGUCGGGCAGUGCCAUUCUAGGUUGGCUAGGAGGCCCCUGGCACACAGGGCCGGCACAGGAAACCGUCUCCCGGUGUUAAUGUCAGGGAGGGGGUGUCAAUCCAGGGCCCACCACCAGCGCGGGGUCUGGAUUCCUGGGACUCAGCAUCCUGGGGUCCAGGCACCACUGGACUCUGAACUCAGGUCAUCCAGCUGAUCCUCACUUCGCAGAUGGAGAAACUGAGGUCCCAAGGGCUUGCCUGGACUGGUAUGUGAGUGGUGGGGGGAGUGCUACGUACUGGCCAAGGUGUCCCAUCAGGAUGUCUUGGAGAACUCAGGUAUCUGAGCUCUACUCCCCCAAAAGCAGGUCCCGGGGAGGCAGCAGGCACAGCUGCAUGUGCACAUAAAUCCUGAGUGAGCUUCUGGGAGGUGUGAUAGGCUGUAGACUCCCCAUGGGAGGCUGGGCCAUGGGUCCUGGGAGAAGGGAUAACCAGAGGGACCAUUGCUCUGCAGACCUUUGACUUGUGUUGGUGUGAGAGUCAGUGCUCCGGGUGGCAGACCCUGACCAUGGAGGCACCUCUGCAGACGGAAAUGGUGGAGCUGGUGCCCAACGGCAAACACUCAGAGGGGCUGCUCCCAGUCACCACCCCCACGGCUGUCAACCAGAGGUGAGCAGAGGGACCCAGUCGUGGUCAGGGCAGGGCAGGGUGCAGAGCAAGGGCCGGAGCUGAGCUGACUGCUCUGGCCUGUGCCUACAGGGUCGAAGGCCCCAGACGGAGCUGUGUUGAGGGCGAGGGCUUCCUACAGAAAAACCCCAGCAAGGAGCCACACUUCACAGACGUGAGCUGGAGGGCACAGUGGGGUGGGGGGCUUGGGAGAUUUCACGCAGUAACAAAGAGCUCUGGGGCAGCAACGGGAGGUUAAGGGACAGUGAGGGGGAAUGUUGGGAUACCCUCCAUGCGUCGCUGUCUCUCCCCCCUGCCCCCAUCUCACUCUGGUGCCUGCAGUUUGUGGGGAAGACUUCAUUUGGGAUGUCAGUGUUCAACCUCAGCAACGCCAUCAUGGGCAGUGGCAUCCUGGGACUCGCCUAUGCCAUGGCCAACACAGGCAUCGUCCUUUUCCUGUGAGUGCCUUCAGUGAACCCUCUAAAGACAGGAGCUCUAAACAGUCCACCAACCAUGACCUCCCAGGACCC
rnacentral:lncRNA from 1 species